rnacentral:misc_RNA from 1 species
AAAAAAAAAAAAGAAAAAAAAGACGACCUAUCGACAAGGGAAGAAUGAAGAACUUGAGCCAAAAUUUGUCUAUUGGCGGGGAGACCUGUGGGAUUGUAUGAAUGUAUGUGAUUGUUCAAGAAAUCUUGAGUUUUAGAGUAUAAAGAUGCCUAGUCAAAUGGUUGGGGAAUGUGAUUAUGAUUUGGAAUGAUUAAGAAAUUUCUACAUAUGUGUCGGUUGUAGAAAGGAAGAGUAAUUAAUUAUGGUUUGGAGAAUAAUGAUAUAAUUAAUUGGAUUGAGACCAAGAUAGUUUUCAACUUUUAUAUAUUUGGUUGAAUGAAUUGUAUUAAAUGCUUGGUCCUAUCGGUGAACCAUAUUGGGUAUGUUAAAUUGUUUAAUUAAUGGGUUAUAUAUUUAUUUAUGUUUGUGAAAUUAGGUCAUGCAUGUGCAUCAUAUGAAUGUGUUUUCAAAUAAUAUA